UUGGGAGCUCUCCCAUAUGGUCGACCUGCAGGCGGCCGCGAAUUCACUAGUGAUUCGUAUUACCGCGGCUGCUGGCACGUAGUUAGCCGGGGCUUCUUCUGAAGGUACCGUCACUCCAUCGAGCUAUUAACCCGUUGAGCUUCGUCCCAACUGAAAGGAGUUUACAAUCCGAAGACCGUCUUCCUCCACGCGGCGUUGCUGCGUCACGCUUUCGCGCAUUGCGCAAGAUUCCCCACUGCUGCCUCCCGUAGGAGUCUGGGCCGUGUCUCAGUCCCAGUGUGGCUGAUCGUCCUCUCAGACCAGCUACCCAUCGCAGCCUUGGUGAGCCGUUACCUCACCAACAAGCUAAUGGGCCGCGGGCCUGUCCCGAUGCGAAGGCCGAAGCUAUCUUUACUUGGAGACCUCAUGGUCGCCGAGCACAUUUGGUAUUAGCCCGAGUUUCCCCGGGUUGUCCCAAUCAUCGGGGUGGGUUACCCACGUGUUACUCACCCGUUCGCGGCUCUGCCCCGGGGCAAGCCCCGGUUCGUCGCUCCACUUGCAUGUGUUAAGCACGCCCCCAGCGUUCGUCCUGAGCCAUGAUCAAACUCUAAUCGAAUUCCCGCGGCCGCCAUGGCG
rnacentral:rRNA from 1 species